UCUUUUUCUUCCACUAAUCUCCCGAUCUCUUCUCCCCCAACCAUCUCCACCGGACGCUGCCUUCUCCCCCCUCCCUCUCCCUCUCGCAUCGUCGGGGCACCCAGUCCGUGAGAUGCCGGCGCCCGUCACUACCAACCAUCGAUAUCGCCGUCCCUGUCCGUUGCCGCCUCCCAUCACCAGCGCCGACCACUCGAGCUCUGAUCCGGCUGUCGCCCUCUCCCUUCUCUCUCGUCGCCAUGCUCUAGAUUGCCGACGCCGAGUCUCUCUCGCCGAGCCUCCCUUCUCCCUCUUCCUCUCGUGCCGCUGCGAUCCGUCAACCCACGAGAUGCCGGAGCCAAGCCGCCCUUCCUCUGGUGUCAUCGUCGCACAGUUUCCGAUUGCAUCUUCUCCUCACCGGAUUUUGGACCAGGAGGGGUUCAGCAGCGUCUCGUCUCCCUCCACCGGAGCGUUGCUUACCUUUCAUGAAGUUGUGCCCUAGUUUCAUUUCAUCGCCAGCGCACCCCAGUAGCUCUUCCUCUUUGGAUGUCAGCCCCAAUUGCCUUUGGUUGGUCGCGAUCAAGUUACUGUUGGACGGUUUUCAAGCAUUCAACAGCGGCGUUGUUCCUUCGUCGAUGUGAGCGAGCCUAGCGAGUGUCAUCUCCAGGGGGGUGCUGGGGAUUUUUGUUGGAUCAAUCAUGAGUUUCAUCAGCGCAUUCUAUUGUUGGGGAUUCAGCGGGAGAAGAGGUGGCUGAUAUUGGAGGUGCAGCGGGUUUACUAUGGUUUUGGCUAUGAGUUUCCAGCAUGAUACAACUUCAGCUCUUCAAUUGUGGGUCAACAGAAAUUCAUCCAGUUUUAGGUAGUAGGUAGAUAAUGGGUGGGUCACUUGGAGUAUCUUGUCUGCCGAAUCCUACGUCAUAUCUGAAGACUGCUCCCGGUUUUGUUCUGCUUUAUUGGUGUUACUUAAUUGUUGUACUUAUUGUUGUAUCGAUUCGAUUUUGUUUUAGAGCUUUCUAUGUGGACUUGUAUUUGCUUGUUGUGAUUUUGUAAGCAUAGCCGGCUAGCAGAGUAUUGUUUUGGUUUAUGUGGGCUUUCCAUGUCGUUUUUCAGCUGUGGUUGUUUUUAGUACAGCCGAGUGGGUUGUUAUAUAUAUAAUUCUAUGAUUGUUUUUACUUUGUUCUA